rnacentral:rRNA from 1 species
CGGACGGGUGAGUAACGCGUGGGUAACCGUGCCUCCAUACAGGGGGAGUAACAGUUGGAAACGAACUGCUAAUACCGCAUAAGCCCACGGUGCCGCAUGGCACAGAGGGAAAAGGAGCAAUCCGCUUUGAGAUGGCCUCGCGUCCGAUUAGCUAGUUGGUGAGGUAACGGCCCACCAAGGCAACGAUCGGUAGCCGGACUGAGAGGUUGAACGGCCACAUUGGGACUGAGACACGGCCCAGACUCCUACGGGAGGCAGCAUG